GAAGGGCUGUAGCUCAGUGGUAGGGCUUCUGCUAUGCCUGCAGAAGACUCCAGGUUCCAUCCCUGCCACCUUCA